UUUAGCGUAGCUCAAAAAGAGCGCCGGCCUUUUAAGCCGGCAGUGCCGGCAGGCCGCUAAAA
rnacentral:tRNA from 1 species